rnacentral:rRNA from 1 species
UACGUAGGGUGCGAGCGUUGUCCGGAAUUAUUGGGCGUAAAGGGCUCGUAGGCGGUUCGUCACGUCGGGAGUGAAAACUCGGAGCUUAACUCCGAGCCUGCUUCCGAUACGGGCAGACUAGAGGUAGGCAGGGGAGAGCGGAACUCCUGGUGUAGCGGUGGAAUGCGCAGAUAUCAGGAAGAACACCCGUGGCGAAAGCGGCUCUCUGGAACGGUACUGACGCUGAGACGCGAAAGCGUGGGGAGCGAACAGG